AUAACGAUACGGGACUCAUCCGAGGCCCCGUAAUCGGAAUGAGAACACUUUAAAUCCUUUAGCGAGGAUCCAUUGGAGGGCAAGUCUGGUGCCAGCAGCCGCGGUAAUUCCAGCUCCAAUAGCGUAUAUUAAAGUUGUUGCGGUUAAAAAGCUCGUAGUUGAAUCUGUGUGCCACGCUGUCGGUUCAUCGCUCGCGAUGUUUAACUGACAUGAUUGUGGGACGUCCUACCGGUGGACUUAGCCUUUCGGGGCGGUCCAGCUAAUAUCCCAUCGCGGUGCUCUUCAUCGAGUGUCGAGGUGGGCCGGUACGUUUACUUUGAACAAAUUAGAGUGCUCAAAGCAGGCUAUGCUCGCCUGAAUACUGUGUGCAUGGAAUAAUGGAAUAGGACCUCGGUUCUAUUUUGUUGGUUUUCGGAACCCCGAGGUAAUGAUUAAUAGGGACAGAUGGGGGCAUUCGUAUUGCGACGUUAGAGGUGAAAUUCUUGGAUCGUCGCAAGACGGACAGAAGCGAAAGCAUUUGCCAAAAAUGUUUUCAUUAAUCAAGAACGAAAGUUAGAGGUUCGAAGGCGAUCAGAUACCGCCCUAGUUCUAACCAUAAACGAUGCCAGCUAGCGAUCCGCCGAUGUUCCUCCGAUGACUCGGCGGGCAGCUUCCGGGAAACCAAAGCUUUUGGGUUCCGGGGGAAGUAUGGUUGCAAAGCUGAAACUUAAAGGAAUUGACGGAAGGGCACCACCAGAG
rnacentral:rRNA from 1 species